rnacentral:lncRNA from 1 species
AGAUCAGGGCAUGUACAUUUUGUAGACUUAUUCCCAGAUGAGCCAUAACAAAUAGCUAAAGCAUACUUUCCACUGGUGGCAAAUUGCUCCUGGGAAACAUACUGAUUCACUUGUGGAUUAAAAACACAGCAGUUAGAAUCACUUUCAUAUAGGCUAACUUCACAGCUCUUGAUAGUGAAGAGAAAUUUUUUUUUUUUUUUUUAGCUUUCAAAAGAUUCAUAGAUGUCUCCCUAUUUCUUUGAACUGUCAUUAUGUUUAAAUGGGGUGAGAAAACUACCAAAAAUGUUUAAAUCAUGCGUUCCUGAUGCAAACAUCAGUAGUCUCUUGUCUUUUACUAACUACAUUUAAACAUACCAGAGAUGAAAUUGUUGGACUAUGAGAUUACAAUCCCUUUUGACGGGUUAAUAAUCUUGCUUAUUAAUAGAAACAAUUCAGACCAGAAUUCUACCUUGCAAUUUUGCUAUGGGAAGUGUAGGCAAGAUUUCACCAAGAACAAAACAAUCUCGCAAACCAAUUUGAAUGAUCUGAGAGCUGUGUUUGCUUAAUGUACAGUUUAGUAGUGGUAUCACGCUUUGGCUCUGUUGUCCUUUCUUUGAACUCAAGGGUAGGCUUGGGGGAUGUUAUUGGAACCACAUGCUUUCAUUCAGGUUGACGGUUUUCUUCAGAAGACAUAGUAGGGUCUUCAUGAUUUGUCUCAGGUUGCAAGUCAGCUGUCCAAUGAUGAAGAAUCAUCUAUAUGUUUCAGUGGGUUUAGGCUUAAAAAACACUCUCAAGAUAUUAAUUUGCCAUUGUUUUAGGUAUAAAAGUGAAAUAUUCCAAAACAUGAUAUGUUAAAGUUUACAGUGGAAAUAUUUUCAAAUACAACUAGGUGGUUGAAUUUUCAUAGUAUAAUGCUUUUUCUCAUUUUUAUCAUGGAAAAGCACAAAUAUUUUAAAUAUUUUUGUGUUUGUUUUUACCAAGGAAAAACCACUCGAAAAGCAAGAGGGCAGUUUGAUGUCUAAAAUGGAAAGGGUAAAUUGCUGCCCUAUCACAUAAGUGGCUUUUGUAGGUUGGAAGUGAAAAAUAUUUUUAAUUUAAAAGUGAAUUUGGAGAUCUGAGCAUGCUCACUGUACAUCACUUUAAAAUUAUUAAAGUAGUUUGAUUUAAUAGAGUGAAUCUUCUCAGGCUGAGGAGUACUUCACUUUGCACUGCAAAAGCUCAGAUGUUAGAACCCGAUCACUUCCCAGAUGAAGAGCUUAUAAAAAAAUGUGAAGUACUCUAAUAAUUUUAAAUUACUCUAUAUUGCACAUUUUCAGGUCUCUGAUCACCUCCAAAUUCAAGUGCUUAUAAAACUGCUCCCAUAAUUUUAAAUUGCUAUGUGCACAGUGAUUUAAAAUUGUGAGAGUGCUUCAAAGUUUUUUAAUAAGUGCUUUAAUUUAGAAGUGAGUUGAGCAAUACUCCAGUAUAACUUCAAGAAUUUAUUAAACCGAUAUAAAAAUUUAUCCUCUGGAAAGAAAAUUACAUUACGUAUAAAAGGGUGAGGCUCCAAAUGAAUAUAUAUGAGGAUGAAAGUACCAAAUGCUCAGGAACAAUCAGUAAAUGAAAUGAGAUCAUGGGGUCGUAGGUGGGGGGUUUGUUUGGUUAAUUUUGUUCACUGCUUGCCUGAGGCUAGCGUUCUUGAAAAUCUAACAGGUAUUUCAAUUCCCUUAAGGUGAAAAAUUGCAUUUAGAGGACUUCAUUUUCGAUUCUCACCAUUUUCAAAGAUGUCAGGGAGUUUCUCCUGAAAUUAUGGGAAAACGGUAUUGUUAGAUGAAAGGAGCAUAUCUUAGAAAAGGGGGGAGGAGGAGGGAGAGAGAAAGAAAGGGAGAGGUAAAGAAAGGGAAGGAAGGAAGAGAGAGCCUGGUGGGAGAGUUUAUCCCUAAGACAUCUUUCCCCACUUGUCAGUAAGGUAGCUCCUGGACCCGCCUGACUCCUGAAUUUCUCAUUUUUCAGAGGUAAACAUGGCACAUUUUAAAUUGUACUCAGGGAUGAGGGAAAUGGUUUUCAUUAAAAACAGAAUUCCUUUCAUAAACCAAUAGAUCUAGUCACCCUAGGAAAAGCAUGUAGAUUUGGUUUUCUGACCACGAUACCCCAUUAUUAUUACAAUGCAUGAGGUGAUUUGACCUUAAACGGGCUACCAUCCUACAUGGAUCUAGUCUUACACUACCUGCUUGGGGAAUAAAAUAUCUUGAGUUGUGCUAGCUGCGACCAGCUUUUCCAUGGCUUCUCCGGCUUAUUUUCCAUGCUGUUCAGGUAAACAUGGUGGUCCCCUUUGACUGAGUCACCGAUUUUGUCUGACUGCACCAGCUGAUGUGUCUGAAAUAUCAAACCGUUUGACAGGGACAUGAGGCCUCUCAUGUACUGAACUAGAAUUUUAUAAUGUCUUUGAUUAAGAACAUGAACUUGAAACACAGGAACCAUAAGGAUGUUCUUUUGUCCAGUCGUGAAAAGAUGGGGAUUUAUAAUGUAUGGUGAUUCUUUGCACAUUUUGUGAAACCCCCAUAGCCUUCCUUACAGGGAAAAAGGCAUUUACAGUUACUAAGUUGAAGAUGAAAUAAAAGUCAAUUGACUGCAUGUUUCAGCAGUUCCUACCUCAGAAUGGAAAAUUACAUACAUCAUUGGGUUCUAAAGUGUAAUAAAUGGGUGGAUGUUAGUUCUUGUUUCUCACUUUGCUAUAAAUAUUACUGUGCCUCAAAAUAUUUGAAGUAAUUCUCAUCUUCAUUUUUGCUGUAUGUAAAUAUUCUUGAAAAUGACUCUUAUCUUCCUAUAUUUUUUUAAAUAUAGGAGAUUAGUCUCUGUCUAUAACACAGGGAAACAAGACUUUCUGAAAUAUCCCGGAUACAUAUAUAAAGGACAGAAAGGUUGUAUGUGAGACCUUGAAAAGAAUGUGAUUUUUUUAUGACAAUUUAUCAUUUAUCCUGGAUCAACAUUUUCUAGCACUCUUCUAGCUUUGCUAAAGCAAAUUGUGUUUUAUGUCCCCAGCAGAAUACUCGAUAACUGGUCUGGCGAUGAUGAGGCAUAAUAGGAGUUAUCUGGUCCCAGGAAAGUCAUUGGUUUGCGUUCACUGCCAGAGUCUGGUUAUCAUUGCAGGGCAGGAUUAUCUCAUUGUUUUCUGCUGCCAUGAUUUUGUUUUGACUUCUCAAAUCUCCACAGAACACUCAUUUAGAAAACCCUCCACAGUGGUUUGUUCUUACUGGGGAAACGAAGGCAGUGGGGAGGGAAGGACAGAAGGAUUUUCUUUCUUUUUCUGAGUCCGUCCUGGGCAGAGAGUAAGAUGCAGUUUUUUCUUAGCGUUGUCAGUGCAAGCCUAGCCCUUUCACUGCCCAGUUUAUUACUCCUAUGCAUCGCCUUAAGAUAUUGCUCCAAAGAUCAAUACCCUGAUUUCCUUUCCAUCUGCCUAGACUAAGAUAAUUAGGCUCUUUACUUCAUUUUGUAUGUAAUGAAGGCGGCAACUCGUGAUAGUAGAGGAAAAAAGCUAUCUCCCUAUGGUAAAUGUAUUGACAUUUACAGAUACCAGCGGAGCACAACAUGAGGAGAGUAAUGAGAAAUUUCACUGCUUUCCCCUCUUUCUCUGUUUCCUGGCUAGAUCCCACAGCGAAUCACUAGCUGCAAAGAGAAGGGACGGCUUAGGGACCGACAAUUGAGAGCAUUUACAAUUAGCUGCAUUGAUUAACCUUUACAAAUGCUGUUACUUUAUGAGGUGUUUUUCUCAGCCCUGGUUGAACAGUAUGCGUUAUUGAUUCAACAUACUCCUUUACGAAAGCCCUGAUUUGUCCGUGACUCCACCAGUCAUAAUGCCUGCCUUGGUAGUCGUUUCUGCAUGUUCUCGGGAAAACUUGACACGGAAGACUGAUUGGCAUUAUGUAAAUGGGGUCCACAUCUUCCUUUAGGAAGGGUGUACAGCCGGCAGAAACCAGGGCGUAGACCUGCCUCCCUUCAUCCCCAUCGCCAGGCGCAGACACAAAGGAUGCCAGCCUCGCGCCAGCCGCUUACUGCUGCCCAAUUCACAGCAUCACUCCUAAUAAGCGGCCUGCAGGAGGAAAAGAGCCUCAGACACUCCUCCAUCUCCUCUGUAUUCCCUGGUUUUUAUUUAGGUUUCCUGAAAUAAUUUGGAGUGUGUGUGCAUGCGUGUGUGUAUGUGUGAAAGAGAGAGAGAGGGAGGGAGAGAGAGAGUUUGUGUAAGGGAAAGGGGUGGUGGGAAAUUGUCCAAAAAAUUGUUUUUAGCUUAAUUUUCUUCGAAGAUUGUAGACCGACUUUGAUUGCCGCUUUGGCUGGUGAUUCCAAAAUCUAUGGUGGAAGGCAUUUUCCUUUCAUCAGUUUGAUUCAGAGAAGCUCAGUGCUUAGAAAUAAUAAAUAUCACCUAGAAAUGGCUGCCUUCCACCCCUCCUGCCCCAUAGAACUAUAUGAAUAUAAAUUGAAUACUAUUUUCUUUUUCUUCCUCUCUUGCUUCCCUCUCUCCCCAUUUCUUCCUUUGAGCCUUCCCUUAUUCUUCAUUUCAAGGUGUACAUUAGUAUCAUCUGAAAGAUAAAAGGACUAAAAGCUUGAAAUACUACAGAGUAAAUCCAUCAGCUGUUCUGUCAGGAUUCCUAAAAUGUAUUCUGCACCCAAGACCAGUUAUAUGAUAUGCAGUGCAAAAUAAAGAUGCAGGGCCCCUUGUUCAUAAAUUAUUAAAAAUUUCUAAACAGUAACAGCAGAGUGUUAAACCCAGCUCUGUUCCUCUAAGAAUGAGGCUUGUGUGAUUGCACAGAUCACACACCCAGGAAGUAGGCCCUGCCAUCAUCUUUGCCAACAGUUAUUUCUGAAAAGAUAGUAGGAGACAGGGGCCUGGGUGGGGGGAAGGUAGUAUUUGUUUUCUUUCCCAACUCGAGUUUAAACUUCUCUAUUGUGAGACUCAUUUUUUCUGGAUCAUGCCAAAUUGCAUAUGCUCCUUUAUGACUUGAAAUGCCACUUAGUUGGGUUUGAACUGAGAGCACCGCCUUUAUGCCCAUCUUCUGCAUAGCAGAUUCCAGCGACUUGAAGCACUUUUUCCAUGCCAGAAUUCUGAGACUGGAGUAUUUGUCACUUUGCGCUUCCAGGAACGGCUGAAAAAAGUUUAUUUUGCUUUAUGUGAUUAAACUGAAUGUUUGUCUUGAUGCAAAUGCAUAUACAUGUGCAUUUAUUCUAAUAUACAUAUCCAAACACAUGGGAUUUUUUUUUCCCGUACAUACAUGUGCAUAACAGAAUUGAGUUUAUGGUUUUCCAAGACACAGCUGAACAAUGAUGGAAGACAGCCAUUUUUUUUUUUAAUGAAGAGUUGAUGCAUUUUUAAAGGAAAAAAAUCAGGAAGCUGCUCUAACAGACUCUGCAGCAUUCACAGCAUGACAAACAAAUUAGAAAACAGCAGAUGCAGCACAAAUUAAGAUGUAUUUAGCACAGCAGCCCAUCAGAUGUGUGAACGUCUUUUGUAACUCAGCUUUGCAAGGUUGAUGUAUUGCACUUUAGACAGCUGAUAAUGAACCCUCCUAGCAAUUAGAAGUGGAAAUACUGAGGAGUCAAAAUUGUGCUGUUCCCAGUGGGC